UUUCAGUACUUGCAGAGAAUACCUUGCUGAAAACCGCGUAUCAUUUCCUUCUGCUCCUCGUUUGGUUCGACACUCUUACUUAUCGAAAGGACUACGAUAGAUCCCCUAUACUUGUGGGUCAUCAACGUCAUCCAAGCACUUGGUGGUGUGGAAGGUAUCCUGGAACAUACCUUAUUUAAGAGAACAUAGUACUAUAUUUCCCUACUUGGGAGGGUUUGUUUUGGGAGAAGGCUUCAGGUUUUGAGGAAUCAAUCAAGUACAAAAGGCUGACAAAUGCACAACGCUCUGGUCCUAAUCAAAUCCACAACAGAAGAUUUACCCUAUGGUGGGUUUCCACUUUCCAGGUUCAGCUAGAAUAUUAACUGGUUCCCUAGCCCGGGUCAAAGCCCCUCCUCCAACAAGCAAUGAACAAGUUCAUGAAGCCAAAUCCUGCUAUGUAUGUGCCGAGGGAGAGAAUAAGAAAGGGUCUUCAGUUGUAUUCAUCUGAACCCACCGAGCCAUAUCUGUCUUAACAGAACUACAGAGGUAUAUUCAGAAAUCAAAUCAUACGUUCUGUGGAUGACAAAUGUCUAUCGAGUUACCAUUGACAAAACCUUCGAGGGUAUCCUGACAACCAAACCAAUCAAUGGUGCCAUCUUUAUUUUCAAUCCAAGAACUGGUCAACCAACUAUUUUUGAAGGUCAUCCACACAAGUGUAUGGGCAGGACAAAAGCGUUUAGUUUCUCAGCAUGCGAAUCUCCCAGAACAUGAGUUCCUUGCUGACUUGGAGCCGUUGGGACCCAGUCGAAUGAAGCUCCUCAGCUAUCACCUCAGGAUUUGACAUGACUUGCUAAUAUUUUGGAGAAAAACAAGCAGUAUGAUGGUAAGAAGUGCACCAUUUUGACCUGUCGGCGAACAUCUUGGGUCAGUGGUUAUGUUUGGGGGAAGAAGAAAACCUAUCGUGUAUUUGUGUGGGACUAUAAUAUCUGAAGCUCUGGACAUAUGGAGAAAAAGGAGGCACCUGCCUGGCGAGAAACCAGCACCUUUGGUGAAAGUCUAAAUUCCGAAUAUAUGCCUGGACUACUUGAGCCUUUUGCAUAGUUUUUUACUAGCAGUAGUUCGACAAUUUACAGUUAGCAUUUUAAGAAAGAGUAUUUGUAUGUGCAUCUUCAGCCCUGUUUCUUCUCUAUUAUGUCAAUGCAAGAUCUUACACUUUUAAAUGAGGUAAUUGACGCAUGCUUUCCAAUUUCCUUAAGGAGGUUGAGGUAUGCAGUAUUUGUCAUCUCCGAGUUGAAACAAUGCCUUUCACUUAGCUGUAUUUGUUUGUUAGUAUGCUACGUGCUCAUUCAGAUUCUUGCUCACCAAAGAAUCAUUCGAACCAAAUGGUGAAUCUUGAUAACGCCUUUCAGUUGUACGAUUACUUGUUCCAGGAUUUUUUUUUCAUUUACUUGUUGCAGCCAACAACUCUCUAAUAUCUUGUAUCAGGAUCCGUUGAUUACUUAUUUCAGGACCUGAUCUUCAAUUUGCCUAGUGCUACACAGAGCAAAAAAUCUUCUCGUGGCUGUAACUUUUUCUUAUGCAUUACCGUUCUUUUUUUUAUCAACUAGCUAGCUGUUGCCUGCGGUGCAAAUUUUGUUUCCUGUUGUUGACUUGGAACAUUUCAUCCAGUGAGAAGGUUCUCAAGAGUCAUGAGCUCAAGUAUCCUGUAGGUGACUUGCAACUCUGGUUUGGCCUAGCAUUUAGUAUACUAAAUUCUGAGUAACAUGUACGCUGAUAAUAGUGAAGACAGUCAAACACUUCAUGUACAAAAAGAUAUCGUUUUCAAAUUUUGUAGUUGGAUGUUUGUUGAACUAGUGGACACAUGUGGCAGGAGUCUUUGAGCAAGCGAAGCAAGAUGGUGGAUAGUGACUUGCUUUGCUGACUGCUACUGCUACACUGGUGUUGUCUCUGGUCACUUCUUUGAUCCGGCGACGUAAAGGUUGUGUCUCUGUGUGUGUGCAGUAGCUGUACAUGGUCUCUGUAAGCCUUGGUGCUGUUACCCCAUGGCAUUGGUUGUCUUUGGUCAUGUGUGAUGCUGAAGCAAAGAACAAUGGUAUAUAUGUUCUAAAGCAACAACUCUUUAAGAGUGAUCAUUGUUUACAUGUA